AUCACCUUGGCAGACGAAUGCACUAGAUUUAGGAUCUAAUUAUAUAGAUUAAGGACUAUAGGUGAUA
rnacentral:tRNA from 1 species